GACGAACGCUGGCGGCGUGCUUAACACAUGCAAGUCGAGCGGAAAGGCCCUUCGGGGUACUCGAGCGGCGAACGGGUGAGUAACACGUGAGUAACCUGCCCCAGACUUUGGGAUAACCCUCGGAAACGGGGGCUAAUACCGGAUACGACACAGCUUCGCAUGGGGUCUGUGUGGAAAGUUUUUCGGUUUGGGAUGGGCUCGCGGCCUAUCAGCUUGUUGGUGGGGUGAUGGCCUACCAAGGCGACGACGGGUAGCCGGCCUGAGAGGGCGACCGGCCACACUGGGACUGAGACACGGCCCAGACUCCUACGGGAGGCAGCAGUGGGGAAUAUUGCACAAUGGGCGGAAGCCUGAUGCAGCGACGCCGUGUGAGGGAUGACGGCCUUCGGGUUGUAAACCUCUUUCAGCAGGGACGAAGCGUAAGUGACGGUACCUGCAGAAGAAGCGCCGGCCAACUACGUG
rnacentral:rRNA from 1 species